rnacentral:lncRNA from 1 species
ACAGCAGCUCAGGGGUGAGGCGCACGCUGAGAAAACUCAUCGCCAGACUAAGGCCCCAGCUGCAAUAGCAAAUCCCAGGGAAUGUUGUAGCCCUGUGAGAUUACGUGAGUGAAGCUCUCGCACAGCCUGUAUGUCAUUCCGUGCUUCCACAUCUGUUAGUUGUUUAUUGAAUCAAGAACUCAGAGCCCGUGACCUGCAGAAGGCAUUGGCACCCUUUGCCAUGGAGCUGCACAUGCACCUGGCCCAGGACUCAGAGAAGCUGAAGGAGGAGAUUCAAUGGGAGUUGAAGAUGCUGUGGGCCCAGCUGCUGCUUACCCCCCAACAAGGGGAGCCAGUAGUUCAAUGACAAUGUGUGUGAGCUGCAGUGACACCUGGCUGUCUGCACUGACCUUCAGAGUGUAAUGGCUGCUGCUUCAUUUCUGCCUUGCAGAUCUCGUGAAAAUUUUCCUUUUAGUCAGCCCUAACUCAGAAUCACACAGAGAAGGGAAUUCUAGGAAACAUAGUCCGAGUCUAGCUAAGCUGACACGCUACAAAACCACCAGAGCAGUCUUCCCCAUCUCAGUUAAUAACAACUCCAUCCUUCUAGUUGCUCAGGCCAAAAACCUUGGAAUCAUCCUUUUCUCUUCUCUUUCUCUCUUCCUCCCUACAGCCAACCUGUUGGUGCAUCCUACACGCUUUAUCUUCAAAAUAUAUUCAGAAUCCAGCUACUUCUGCCAUGUCCUCAGCUACCACUCUGGGCAAAGGCACCAUCGUGUUGCCUGGUUUGCUGCAGUAGCUUUCUAAUUAGUCUCCCUCCUUCUACCCUUGCCCUCCUACAUUUUAUGCUCAACACAGCACCUAGAGAAAGCCUAUUAUGACAUGUUUGGUCACGCCAUCCCUCUGCUCAAAACCCUCCAAUGGUCUCCCAUGUCACAUCCUUGUGAAUGGCCUACAAGAGCCCCUUCCCUCUUCCCUCUCCAUCCUCAUCUCCUAUUACUCAUCUCCUCACUCAUUCCACUCUGGUCACAGUUCUCCUUACUGUUCUCAGAUAUGGCACCCCACCUCAUAGCUUUUGCAGUUGCUGUUCCCUCUGCCUGUAAUGCUCUCCCCUUAGAUAUCUACAUGGCUUUUCACCUCACCUCCUUCAAGUCUUUGCUCAAAUGCUGCCUUCUCAGUGAUGCCUUCCUGACCACCUCCACCCAGCAUUCUAUUCCCCUUCAUUGCUUGAUUUUCUCUUCCUGGCUCUUACCACAUUCUAACUUAUUCAUUUCAUUUAUUGUCU